rnacentral:rRNA from 1 species
GAUGAACGCUAGCUACAGGCUUAACACAUGCAAGUCGAGGGGCAGCGGUAUCGAAAGCUUGCUUUCGGUAGCCGGCGACCGGCGCACGGGUGAGUAACGCGUAUCGAACCUGCCUCAUACUCGGGAAUAGCCUUGCGAAAGUAAGAUUAAUGCCCGGUGUUUUCAGAGUCCCGCAUGAGGCUUUGAACAAAGAUUUAUCGGUAUGAGAUGGCGAUGCGUCCCAUUAGCUUGUUGGCGGGGUAACGGCCCACCAAGGCAUCGAUGGGUAGGGGUUCUGAGAGGAAGGUCCCCCACAUUGGAACUGAGACACGGUCCAAACUCCUACGGGAGGCAGCAGUGAGGAAUAUUGGUCAAUGGGCGGAAGCCUGAACCAGCCAAGUAGCGUGCAGGAAGACGGCCCUCCGGGUUGUAAACUGCUUUUAGUUGGGAAUAAAACGGGGCUCGUGAGCCCCCUUGCAUGUGCCAUCAGAAAAAGGACCGGCUAAUUCCGUG